rnacentral:tRNA from 1 species
UCCCUGGUGGCUCAGUGGUAAAGAAUCUGCCUGCAAUGCAGGAGACCUGGGUUCGAUCCCUGGGUCAGGAAG